rnacentral:rRNA from 1 species
AUUGAACGCUGGCGGCAGGCCUAACACAUGCAAGUAGAACGAGUGGCGGACGGGUGAGUAAUGUCUGGGAAACUGCCUGAUGGAGGGGGAUAACUACUGGAAACGGUAGCUAAUACCGCAUACCAGCGGAUGUGCCCAGACUGGAUUAGCUAGUAGGUGGGGUAAAGGCUCACCUAGGCGACGAUCCCGAGCUGGUAUGAGAGGAUGACCAGCCACACUGGAACUGAUCCACGGUCCAGACUCCUACGGUGGGCAGCAGUGGGGAAUAUUGCACAAUGUGCGCAAGCCUGAUGCAGCCAUGCCGCGUGUAUGAAGAAGGCCUUCGGGUUGUAAAGUACUUGCAGCGGGGAGGCGUUACCCGCAGAAGAAGCACCGGCUAACUCCGUGCCAGCAGCCGCGGUAAUAC